ACGAGCAGGGGUGGGGAGGAGGAGAGGGUACAGAGGCCAGCGGAUGAGACAGACACGAGGGAGCGUGGGAUGCCUGCCCGAGGCUCUGGCCACGCCCAUGCCCUGCCUGUCCCGCUAAGCACACAGAGGAAAGGCCAUGUGAGGACACAGCAAGACGGCAGCCGUCUGCAAGCCAAGAAGAGAGUCCUCACUAGGAAUCAACUCUGCUGACACCUUGCUGUUGGACUUCCAGCCUCUAUAAAUGUUCACAAGCACACCACUGUUUACACCCAUCUAGAAGGCCCCUCCCAGCUGACAUCUUUCUGCUCACCUUUCAGGAAGACAGACAAAACUCUCUGCCUUCAGGUGGGGCAAGACUGCUGAUGGCUGGAACAGGAGCUUGGCACCUCCACCCUGACCCAGACACAAGCCUGUCUGUCCCACUCAAAUCGAGCUGGCCAGAGACUACAACUGUGUUGGUUCCCAAGACAUAGAAAAGCCAGAAGAGACCGGGCGCAGUGGCUCACGCCUGUCAGCACUUUGGGAAGCGGAGGCAGGCAGAUUACCUAAGGUCAGGAGUUCAAGACCAACCUG
rnacentral:lncRNA from 1 species